GACGAACGCUGGCGGCGUGCUUAACACAUGCAAGUCGAACGAUGAACCCGGAGCUUGCUCCGGUGGAUUAGUGGCGAACGGGUGAGUAACACGUGAGUAACCUGCCCUUGACUCUGGGAUAACUGCGGGAAACUGUAGUUAAUACCGGAUACGACCCUCGGCGGCAUCGCCAGGGGGUGGAAAGAAUUUCGGUCAAGGAUGGACUCGCGGCCUGUCAGCUAGUUGGUGAGGUAACGGCGCACCAAGGCGACGACGGGUAACCGGCCUGAGAGGGUGACCGGCCAAACUGGGACUGAGACACGGCCCAGACUCCAACGGGAGGGAGCAGUGGGGAAUAUUGCACAAUGGGCGGAAGCCUGAUGCAGCAACGGCGCGGGGGGGAUGGCGGCCUUCGGGUUGUAAACCUCUUUUAGUAGGGAAGAAGCGAAAGUGACGGUACCUGCAGAAAAAGCACCGGCUAACUACGUGCCAGCCGCCGCCGUAA
rnacentral:rRNA from 1 species